rnacentral:lncRNA from 1 species
AAGCUCUCUCUCCCCCCCAUUGAAAAAUCCGGUGUACGCCACUGUGAAUGAUUUUGUGUUAGUAUUAUAUUAAUAACAUAAAAAUGAUAAUAAUAUAGAAUAGGUAAUGUAUUUUGAACUUAUACCUACUUCGAAGAUUCAAAAUAGGUAAUCAGUUUCAUACAAACAUUGUACAUAAUAUAUUGACCAUACAAAUAAUUAUUGUAAUGUUAUUUACAAAAUAAUAUGCAUAAUAAUUUAAAUUAAACCAAAUAAAAUAAAAUGGUUAAGACAGUUACAAGCUGUUUAAAUAAUAUUGACUUUCAGAGUUUUGAAUAAAGUACUCUGAAGUAAAUUUAUUUACGCUAUAUCACCAAGGUAUUUUGAAAUAAUAAAAAAAAAAAAAACAACUUAUAAGUCUACACAUCACAUAAGGUUAUAACAAAGAGAUUUGCACAUGUAAGUUAACGAAUUAACCAACUACAAAACUAAAAUUCGUUAGCGACUGUCUGUUUGCUGAUUAAGGUGAUUUUUAACAUUGCGCGUGGCGUCACGGAUUUGUGACUACUAAUAAAACUGUUGUAACUUUGACGUUACUUUUUUAAUAAAUUUUUUAUUUUAAGAGUAGAUGAAAAUAUAUCCCCUCACCAUAAAAAAGAUUUAGGUACACUACUGAUAUAGUCAUAUUAGAACACAGAUAUAUGAUGCAGAUAGGUGCAGUGUUUGUGUUAGCAUCACAAAUUUUAUAUCAUUCAUGGUCUAUUCUAUGAUAAUUAUGUCUAAGGUUUUAAUUUGCUGUCCUCGGACUUCACAUAGUGCAAAGUUUCUUUUUCACAUAGUGCAAAGUUGCUUUUUCACAUACUAGUUUAUAAUAAUAAAUAAUAUUUAUAUCUCUGUUGAUCCGUUUCGACCACGCUUACCAAUCCUCUGGUUGGAUGUUCCUCGGAUAAUUUGAUGGCCCUCAAGAUGAAGUAUCACAAUUUUCCAAAAUAUGUUUAGACAUGUUAGUAAAUUCUUUUAUGUGCUGCGAUAAUAAUUUAGAAUUAUAUUAUAUUGAGUGAAAAAUAUUCCAGAAUGUUCGCGCAUUGCGGUGACUGUAUUAUAGCCAACGUUGUCGCUACAAUCAUAGUAAUAUUAAUCUAACUGGUAGAGAACAAUGAAAAUCUUAUGGAUAAAAACAAAUUCGUAAAUAUUACCAGCUAAUAACAAAUUAGUAAUUAGUAAAUAAUAUAUCGCGGCUAGCUCACAAAUGUUUUAUAGUCCGGUCCACAAGAGAAAGGUACCGAAAGAAUGCUAUGUGAACGCUCGUCACGCCGUUAAAUUCCUUCCACAUAACCGUCAGGAUUUACAGCGACAAGUACAAUGUGCUAAAAUUAUUAAAUAUUAUAUUGUAAGAUACAUUUUACCGUACUUGGUUAUUCAUACUCGAUCAAUUUCAAAAACGAACAUACUUCGAACGAUAGGUGGACCAUUGUUAUAGGUUAGGUGAGAGGCGUUAGGUGAGGGUAGAAUAUAGAGAGAAAUUUAAUGUAUAUCCGUAUGCAAGAUUAAUCAUUGCUAAAAGAAAAACGAUUCUGAGCGAAGUUCGAUUAUACAUAUUUUUAAAGUCCGUAAUAAUACAAUUUUCGUCAAAAUAUGAUAUUAAAAUUCUUAAAAAAAAUUUACACUACCUAAAAUAAUUUUCUUUUUUACCACAAAGUACGAUAUAAUGAACUUUUAGUUGAAUUUUCAAACAUUUCUGUUUGGUCCAAUAGUUUUAUACACACAGUGUCCACCGAAUAAAAUUACGUAAAUAACUAUUUGGAAAAUUAAAAUGUCUAUAAAUAGCUUAAAAAUGACUUAAAUGUUUUAAAAAUAUGAUUGCGUCAAAUAUAGGCUUUCUGUGCGAAUUUAAAGUUUCCAAAAAUAUUUUUAACUGAAUCUCAAAAAAAAAAAAAAAAAAAAAUUAAAGCAUUAUCUUAGUAAAUUUUCACGUUCUUGCUGUUUUUUACGGUUUAGCUCCAUUAUUAAAAAAACUACACGGAAAAUCAAAAUACGACAUUCUUAAUAACAAACUAUAUGAAAAAUUCAAUAACAAUGAUCAUUUGUUUUUACAGUAGUAAUAUUAAAACAUUAUCAGUUAAAAAGUUAAAUUAUAAGAAUCGCGACUUUUAAUAGUUUUCAUUUUUUGUUUUUUUUUUUCUUUUAGUUAUUUGCAAUUAUCAUGAAAACUGCUUAGAAAAUCAAAAAAUUAACGUCUUCGAGAGGACCCAAGUUCAAAAUGGAGCAAUAAAAGUCUCCAGUCAUUUUAUGACUGAAGCAACAUUCCUGGGAGAAAACGCAAGUUACAAAUAUAUAAAAUCAUGAAAUAGCCACAAUGUAGAGAUUUGUCCAUUUAUACUUGUUUUUCUCACAUUAUUAUGAAAACCCCUAAGAAAAUCAAAUAAUAGUCUCUUUGGAGUACCAUCUAGAUACAGUAGUGGAUUUUCAACAUUUUUCUGUGAAGGGUCCUGAAAAUUCAUGAGUAUUUAAAAGGUAUCUCUAUUAAUAGUGAUUAUCGGG